AGAGAAUAGAUACCCAGGUAGUCCACGCCGUAAAACGAUGAGCACUAGUUAUUGGGGGUAUUGACUCCCUCAGUGACGCAGCUAACGCAUUAAGUGCUCCGCCUGGGGAGUACGGUCGCAAGACUAAAACUCAAACAAAUUGACGGGGGCCCGCACAAGCGGUGGAUUAUGUGGUUUAAUUCGAAGCAACGCGCAGAACCUUACCUAGGCUUGAACUCCUACGAACCUCUUGUAAUGGAGAGGGUGUCCGCAAGGAAAUGUAGUGAGAGGUGCUGCAUGGCUGUCGUCAGCUCGUGUUGUGAAACUGUUGGGUUAAAGUCUCGCAACGAGCGCAACCCCGUAUCGUCUGUUGCCAGCAUUAAGUUGGGCACUCUGACGAGACUGCCUGGGUUAACCCAGGAGGAAGGUGGGGAUGACGUCAAGUCCUCAUGGCCCUUAUGUCUAGGGCUACACACGUAAUACAAUGGCGCGUACAGAGGGUAAGCGAACUAGCAAUAGGGAGCAAAUCUCAAAAACGCGCGCCUCAGUUCGGAUU
rnacentral:rRNA from 1 species